AUGCCGGAUGGAGUUAACGACACGUCCAUUGUGCUAAUUCCUAAAGUGCCACACCCGAGAGAGCUCGAGGAUUUCCGGCCCAUUAGUUUGUGCAAUGUGGUGUAUAAGAUCGUGUCAAAGUGCAUGGUAAAUAGGCUUCGGCCUCUCUUAACUGAGCUUAUUUCUGAAAAUCAAAGUGCCUUCAUCCCCGGGAGGCUUAUCUCUGAUAACUCCAUCAUCGCGUUUGAGUGCAUUCAUCACAUCCAAUCCGCCAAAGCAAAUUCACCAUCGUUGUGUGCUUACAAACUGGAUUUGUCAAAGGCUUAUGACCGUGUUGAUUGGAACUUUCUGGAGAGGUCUCUUUCUAAGUGGGGAUUCUCCGAUGAAUGGAUCUCCCGCGUUAUGGCAUGUGUUACAUCAGUGGAGUACUCAGUGAAAUUCAAUGGGAAAUUUUUGGAGUCCUUCUCUCCCUCGAGAGGGCUCCGCCAAGGUGAUCUGUUAUCCCCUUCCUCUUCCUCUUUGUGGCUAAUGCUCUUUCUAUUCUUUUGA
rnacentral:rRNA from 1 species